rnacentral:lncRNA from 1 species
UCCACCUAAGGUACACUUGCUAUCCCUUCUUUUAGUUUAUAUAUCUUCCUUCCUUUCCAAUGUAAAGAACCUGCACGCAUACCUUAACUCAACUCAAGAGUGUUACAUUCCAUGCAUGAAACUAAGGAAUCAAACAAAGCCUAUGUACCUGCAGACUUCCACAUAACCAAGGCUCUGAAUGAACUUUCUUGAAUUCUGUAUCUCCUAGCCUCGGAACUCAUAGUCGUUGCACGUGUGAUGAGCCAGCCCCUCUAUCUGACCUGAAAUAACCUUGCUUUAGACAUUAAGAGUCCUAAAUGUAAGAUGCGAAAUAUAUAAUUUAUGCAACCAUGGAUGGAAAACAUAGCUUCCAGGACCAGAUCAAUAACAAAAAGUUCCGCUUGGAAGUAGUUUAUAGUAGUCUAACAUUAUAUGUGUGAUACUAAGAUAAUAAUUGUUGUGAAGCUGAUAGGAUGGAAAGACAAAGACAGAACCUUGCUUGUUGAUCCAGAUGAAAUUAAUUGCUUGAAAAGGGUGGGCCGAUUAAAUGACACAGCGAAUUCCAUAUACGAACUUUACA